rnacentral:rRNA from 1 species
AUGAGGGAGCUGGGUCUUCGAGAGGAGGACCUUGACGAUGUGGUGUUUGAUGAGAAGGAGGCACCGCCGGAGGCGUCGCGGUGGAUGGCGCUGGUUAGGGUGCACUCGCCCAAAACAUAUAGCCAGUACUGGUUCUUUAAGAAUAUGAGAGCGGCGUGGGAUCUAGCUCAGGAGGUCCAGUUCAAACCGCUCGAGGACAAUCUAUAUACAGCCAAAUUUUCAUGUUUGGGAGAUUGGGAGAGAAGUAACACGUGA